GCAGAACGCGAAGAACCUUACCUGGGCUCGAACGGCGGACGACGCCCUUUAGAAAUAGAGGGGUUUCCUUCGGGAACGGCCGUCGGGUGCUGCAUGGCUGUCGUCAGCUCGUGUCGUGAGAUGUUGGGCUAAGUCCCGCAACGAGCGCAACCCUUGUCCUGUGUUGCUAAUCUUCGGAUGCACUCUCAGGAGACCGCCAGCGACAAGCUGGAGGAAGGUGGGGAUGAUGUCAAGUCAGCAUGGCCUUUAUGUCCAGGGCUACACACGUGCUACAAUGGGCAGGACAGACCGUAGCCAACCCGCGAGGGGGAGCAAAUCGGAGAAACCUGUUCUCAGUUCGGAUUGCAGGCUGCAACUCGCCUGCAUGAAGCUGGAAUCGCUAGUAAUGGCAGAUCAGCAUGCUGCCGUGAAUACGUUCCCGGGUCUUGUACACACCG
rnacentral:rRNA from 1 species